GUAAAAUGAGCCUAUCGUGCGGCAAUCGAGAGGAAUGUGCGGUGAUGCCGAGGGUGAUGCUUCCUUCCGGAAGGAAAGUUUUCGCAAGGCAAAGAUUACCCGGUUGUGCUGUCACCGUGGACUGAACUGUACGAGGGAAUUUCCGCAAAGUAUACAUCCUAGGACGGGAAACAGAAAAUCGUCCGCGCCUUACAUAUCAUCGAAGCCAUCCUGCUGGGUAGCCAAGACAAUCGUUCUCGACUGCUGCACUAACGUAACAGCAAAUUUGCCAAGGCAAUGAAUCGCUCGCUGGGACACCUACCGUCCAAUCCCCAAAUGCUGAUGUUGGUGACCGAACUGGAUGACUUUUCAACAACAACGUUUCGAUUCAGUCAAAAUACGUCUCUAGAUCAUCAGAGAAACAUUAAGGAUUUCUUAAAUACGCACACCUUACGUUACUGGAAAGCGGAAUCGACACCGGAAUAAAAAAGCUAAUGGAAGCCGGCCUUGUGCACACGCUAUCUCAUGGAAUUCAGUUAGCUGCUGCGCCUCGGAUUAGCCAACAAUCGGAUACCGUGCAUAGGAGAUUAAAUGCGAGAUCCAAUCUUCGGGCACAAACGGAACUGCUUGAGCGUGUUUCAAGUAAAGCGUAAUGCGUUUGAUACUUCCCGGGCCCACCAGUAUCUGGCGGUACAUUCUCGUUCCGAAUAUCACAGCAGCGUUUACCAGAUAGCUGCACUUCAGGAAACACUUCUUCCCGGCGGGAUACUUCCGAAACUUGUGACCAGAACUGUAGUUCCUUCUUAUCAUCGCCUGACCAUGAAUCUGAUCCAGGAAUCCACCGGUGUAGCAGAGCCCUAUGCAGCUAUACAGCUGUUAAUAAUUAUAUACAACUAUACAGCUGUUAAUAAUUUUAAUUUAAUAAAAUAAAAAUAAUGUUUUUAUUUACAACCUUCCAACAUUGAAAACAAACACGCUCAUUUGAAUCUACUCAAAAGUGAGUCGAAAUGACUCACUUUAGUAUUUUAAUGGAAAUGUCAAAAAGUGAGUAACAUUAUAUUUAGCAAGUGAGUCAAUUUUCACUCACUUAGCAGAGUUUUAGGCUUUACUCACUUUUGCGUAAUUGUUUUCAUUUCCACUGUCAAGCACUUGGAAAAUUUUUCGUGAAACAUGUUCUCGCAUGUUUUGUGAAAAACAAAGAUUAUUAACGACUUGGAAAUAUUCCGGAAAUUGAAGGUACCGUAUUCCUGUUAAAAUAUAUUAUAUUUUUAUAUUAAAAGUAAAUUUAAUUAUGUGAACAGAGAAGAUGAUUACAGUUGGUGGUGGUGAUCUGGCUGGACAUGGCCCGCAAAGAUUCUCGCAAUACUGACAGAGGAUUCGAAGCCAGAUUCGAUGUUUUCAUUGAUACGCGAUAUGGUUUUGAUGGUGCCCACGAAAUAUAGUGAUGUACUUUACCUUUGCCAGUCGACCCUCGGUAUAUAUUGUCAGGGUACGGGAAUGUACAUCAAAUGUCCAUGCGCAGAAUGUACGGCCAAGGGCAGAAAUUUCAGCGGAAGCGUGUAAUCGUCCAGUGCCAGGCGGCGAUGAGAAAGGACAGACGGUGAGAAUAAGCGUGGGAAACAAGGAGCUGUUUAUUACAUUCAAGUAAGUUGCUAAGAACUGUUAGUACUCGUUACAUGAUAUUUUUCUAGCUGUGAGUACGCAUGUUUGUAAAAGAAAAUUAUUUAACUAUGUUUCAAUUUUAUAUUCGCAGCGUAUAGAACAGUCACUGACACGGUUCCGAUGUGCACGCCGACGCACGUAUUUUUCGCUCAAGCGGCAUACGGGAGCACGGCGUUCUGGUGAGCCGGGCACAUCUUAGCACACCCGCAUCUGUCUCCGUGGCAAGGGGCUUAAACGAGUUAUCAGGUAGCACUAGCUGGAGCUAGAACGGGAUGCACCUCUGGAGAGGUAGCGACGAGCAGCGGAAACUCAACGACCCCAGAAGAACACCUUCGACAACACUUGAAACAUUUGUGUCUCCUUGAAAUGAAUAUGCUUUUACAACUUUUAUAGAAUGGACUGAUUUGUUAGAUUAGUAACUGGAACGAUUUUUAAGUUAUUAGGUAUUUGAAUCUUGAAAGUAAUGUUGCAGAGAAACUAAAAUGUACGAUAUAUGUCACUUCAACUAAUAAAUCAAUAAAUAAAUUGGGCGAAGCGGAGAGCAUUUCGUUUAUUACA